rnacentral:rRNA from 1 species
GAUGAACGCUGGCGGCGUGCUUAACACAUGCAAGUCGAACGGAAAGGCCCAAGCUUGCUUGGGUACUCGAGUGGCGAACGGGUGAGUAACACGUGGGUGAUCUGCCCUGCACUUCGGGAUAAGCCUGGGAAACUGGGUCCAAUACCGGAUAGGACCACUUCUUGGAUGUUGUGGUGGAAAGUUUUUUCGGUGUGGGAUGAGCUCGCGGCCUAUCAGCUUGUUGGUGGGGUAAUGGCCUACCAAGGCGUCGACGGGUAGCCGGCCUGAGAGGGUGUACGGCCACAUUGGGACUGGGAUACGGCCCAGACUCCUACGGGAGGCAGCAGUGGGGAAUAUUGCACAAUGGGCGCAAGCCUGAUGCAGCGACGCCGCGUGGGGGAUGACGGCCUUCGGGUUGUAAACUCCUUUCGCUAGGGACGAAGCGUUUUGUGACGGUACCUGGAGAAGAAGCACCGGCUAACUACGUG